ensembl:lncRNA
UAAAAUAUAUAGAAUGAAUAAUGUUUUGUACUGCAGCUAGAGUGACCAAACUGAAUAGCAAAUUAAUUUGACUUCAGUCACUAUCAGAUAAGAAUGAUCCCUUUACUGCCAUUGAAAAUAAACAUCAGCAGAAAGAGCUGGGUUUCAUAUAAAAAGGUCUGGAAGCUCCAGUCGGCUUAGGAAGCAAAUGUACGUGUGAAAUAUCACUUGGGUGGCGCGUGCGAGAAGAGCUUGAGGUUGAAAGGGAGAAACUCUGAGCUUUGCUUUGUCAGUUGCAUUCCAGCUGUCAACACUGAGAAGUAAGAAGCACAAUGUGAGAACUUGUAGAUGCAAUAACAAAAAUAUGAUGAAAACACACAAGCCCAUGUAUAGUCACUGAUGAAUAUUACUGUUGAGCAACCACACGGAGAGCUGAGGAGUUCCUGUGAGGACCCUCGCAGAUGGUGAUGUUUUUUUUGAGAGGGGUGGUAAUGCAAACCAGCACAUCAGAUGACUGUGGCCACCCCUUGGUGUCUGUAUAGUCUACCUAGAUGAUACAAUGACAGACAGACAUACAGAGCUCACAACAGACACGCGCGCACACACAUACACACACACACACACACACACGCACGCGCACACACACACACACACACAAACACACAUUUAAAAACACUCAACUCAUUUCUCCUGCUUAAUGAGAAAAUGGGUGGUUCAGUUCUUCUGCUCCUGGGCUUAGUGUGUGUAAAUGUGCUGGCUGACAGCUCUGACAUUGAAGUGGAGAAGAAUGUGUGGGCAGUUCUGGGAGAGGAUGUGGUUCUGCGGUGCCAGUACAUAGGCCAGUCUGCCAUCCUAUAUUCCUCGUGGUCCAUGGAGCAAACAAAUGGAAAAUGGAAACAGCUUGUUGUGUACUUUAUGCAGCAGGUCACAAUCAAUGACAAUAGAUUUGGGAUCCCGAUUUCCUCGAGCAACCUCACUGUGACCAUGAAUGUCUCCAGCAAGGAGGAUGAACAGGAAUACAAAUGCAGCUUCUUCACAGGAUCAGAAACAACAGAAGGAAAAGUGACCCUCAGGAUCAUGGCUCCACCCUCAGUUCACACUCAGGUGCAGGAGGCUGUGGAGAACGGGCUGCACUACCAGACUGUCAUCUGCUCUGCCACUGGCGGAAGACCUAAAGCUGAGCUUUUCUGGCUGGUCCAUGGCCAGCAGGCCAGUGGGCAGGCAUUCUCUAUUAACACCACAUCACUCGAGGGCCCUAAUGGGACCUUCACUCAGACCAGUGUGCUCCAGUUUGCCACCCAUGUUAUGAAUGAGGGCUAUGUCACCUGUGCUGUCAAUCACAGAGCCCUAGCUACCCCUACUCAUGUGAGAGUGGAAGUGAAGCAUUUUGUUGCACCUAUUCUGACAAUGGAAACAAACUUGGUUCAAGAGAAAAUGGAGGAUUUUCAUGAGGUCACCUGCAGGGCUGAAGGAGGACGACCUGCCCCAAGCCUCACCUGGUCUCUGCCUGAAAACACAUUCAGGGAAUGGAACAUCUCGGACAAGAUGCAACAGGACAGACGUGCAUACAAUGACACGGAGACACUCAGCAGCACCCUCCGCUUCCCUGUGCAUUUGCAUGAGGGCUGGAAUGUCACCUGCAUCAUUAAUCACCCUAAAUUUCUAUAUGAGCAGAGGAGAACCUCUUCCCUGCCCACAUACCGAUUUUUCUCAAUGCAGGUGUUCAGCCCAGGGGGUUCAUCUGCGGGGCAGAUACUGUUGGAAGAGGGCAAUAGCAAUGUAAGCAUCCAGCUUGAGGUGGCAGGAAAUGUUCCACAUUACCAGGUUACCUGCACCAAGGAAGACGGCUCCCUCCCCAAAGAUAUGACUGUGACUGGUAGCUCAUUGUGGAUUGGUGGCCCCGUGGAACUGGCCCAUGCUGGACAAUAUGAGUGUCAGGCCUCAUACUACCAACACAAGGUGUCAGUGCAGCUGGAGAUACAGGUUAUUCCUGAAGAGCUGCCACAAGUGGUUGUUCCUCCCAUCAUUAUGACUCACACCUGGGUGAAUUCAGACCUCAGGGCCUUCCAGUGCUCAGCCACUGGCGCCAUUCCAGCAGCCAGUGUGUCCUGGCUUUUUCCUGAGGAUCUGUCUAGAACAAUCCUGUCCAACGACACAUUCCAGAACGAAACACACUGUGUCAGCAGAAUUCUGCUCCGACCCAUCUGCUUGUCUAGGGAGCUCCUGGUGGAGUGUGUGAUACAGCACCCUGCGCUGUCUAGUGCAGCGAUCCAACAGAUCACGCUUCCAGCAUGCUUUGGCCCUGACGUCAGCCUGCAUUCUACUACUGCGUGGGAGGAUGGCAUUCAGUACACUCUGGUGGAGUGCAGAGCAGAAAGCGCCAAACCUGCACCUGCCAUUGAGUGGACCAUCAAGAAUGACCAUGGGAGCAACAACACCAUCCAGCUUUCUGAGGUCACAACCACCAACUGGACUUCUGAAAAUGGGUCCAUCACUGUACACAGUGUAGCACGACUGCCCUCUCACUCGUUCUAUAGACGAAUUGUGACCUGUGUUGUGACCCACGAAGCUCUGGAGAAGGAGAUCAUGAAAGAAAUCUGUAUACCUGCAGUGGAGCCCCCAGUUCCAGUGGUCUCCAUUAGAAACCAGCAGGUCUCGUCCUGGUGGCUGGCUGUUUGUGAGAUCACUUGGCACAUGGAGUUUAAUCUCUCCUGGGUCCUUCCUGAGAAAAACACAGGCCGGACACAGCCAUGCUUGAGAACAGAUGGAGUUCGCUAUUGGGCUAACAGCACCUAUGAGUUUCCUUUGGACCUGCAUGAGGGACAGAAUCUCACUUGCCGCAUCCAAACUGAGCACAUUAGCAUUGACAAGACUGUGCACAUUCCUCGAUACAACAUCUCCCUUGCACUGGCGAAUGCCACCUUGGUUUUAAGGAGGAACCUAGUGCAAAGGGUAACUCUACAGGCACAUGUUCGAAACCAAAAGGUCCAGCUCAGAGUUCAUGGCAAGAUGCCAAGAUUCAACUUUACCUGCUUCAGGAGCGACGGUUCACCUGCCAUUACUGAGGGAGUGGCAUUGGUGUUCCCGUUCCUGGUGUCGGAGCAAGAUGCUGGGCUGUAUACCUGUCACGCAUCCUUCUACCACCACCACACCACCCUUCUCCUUCAGGUGGAAGUGGCUGACAAGGAUGAGGAGCUCUGGAACAUUGUGUUGAUCUGUUUUUCCAUGGCAGUGGCGAUCGUGCUGAUACUCAUCGUUUGUCUCUGCAUAUUCUGCAAAAAGCAUAGAAGGGAAUCUUCAGCAUCUGUGGUGUCCUCUAACAAACGAGAGUCACUGGCAGCCCUCACAUCCCUGAUGGCAGACCACCGCUCUCCAGAGCUGAAGAAGUCGGCAGUGCCAACUCCCCUGAUCCAGAAGGACCAGCAGUACCCAGAGCUGGUUCGUUACUCUAUUGUCAUCGACAUCAAAUCCACUGUGUGACUGCAUGUUGAGUGUGAGGCCUCAGAGCUCCUUGAGGACUUGAACUCCUUUUCUUGUACACUGCCAGAAGACAGGUGCAACAGCACUGCCCAAAGAGUAGCUUCAAUAUACAAUGUUAGAAGCAGUGAAGGGGACAAAUCAGCUGUUAAAACAGAGGUCAAAUCAGAGAGCUAUGGGUAAAUAUGUUAGAGAAGCAGUUGCUUUAUGGAAAAUAUCUUCACGCUGUGAUAUCUGUUUCUCUUCUGCUAAGGUUGGGUUAAGAGAUGCCUUAUAAGCAUGAUUAAAUACUACGCACCUGGGAGCAAUUGCAGCAGCUUGCACCAUUCAUGCAAUUGGUUAUUGGGCUUGCGGUCUGAUGUUUGUAUCUUUGAUAAUGAUAAUGAUUAAUUCCUAAAGGUCAAUGGGCUAAUAUCAGUGUUAACAUGUGGUAAUGUCAAUAAAACCAGUAUCUUCAACUCA